UGAAGUUUAUUGUAUUUGGGGGUGAGUGAGUUUUGGGGGUUGGUCAAGGGUGGGUGGUCUGACCACUCUUUAUUAAGACCCCCCCAAAAGUGGUAAAAACAACAGGUGUGCUGAAGGCAGAGUAAUUGUAUUAGUUCAAAUGUAUGGCGUUCUUGAGAUUAAAUUCACUGUGAGUCAAUGUGAGCAGGAGGAGAGGAGAUAUACAGCACUUUUUUGGUACUAAAAAGGAGUAAGUUGUAACUUGUAAGAAAUAGGUCAUAGAGAUGAUAAUGUAGUCUUCAGUUUCUGUGGUUGUCAUGCAAGCCUAAUACUGAGUAGGAUAUGGGUCGUGGUAAGUUUUACAUCUAUGUGCUACUGUAUUAAGGAAGCAGAGGGUGGUCAGAAUGACAGUCAGUAGGCAGGAGGAGGUCAGGAGGAUAGUGAGCAGAUAGAAACUACCAGUAAAAAGAGGCGAGUAAAAAGAGUGCAUGUGUGGCUCUGCAAAUUUUCUCUAGAAUAUUUUGUUGGUCACCCCUGACUUCAAACGUUGUGUGAAACAUACCCCAUGAGCUGAUUUUUUGGAUUUAUCAUCAUCUACAGACUGCAGACAAGCUAGAUAACACAGAUGCUAUGAAAUGUGAAAGGAACCACCUUGAUGCUGGAUGCUAACAUAACAUUACCAGCAGCCAUUGUUGAGCUCUAUAACACAGAUGAAGGACCAUACUCCUUACCCCAUCCCUUCUUCAGAGACAGCCAAUGAAAGCCAUGUUGAUUUGCAU